AGGGUUGUAGUUAAAUAUAACAUUUGGGUUGCAUUCAAAAAGUAUUGAAUAAUCAAUCAACCUUA
rnacentral:tRNA from 1 species